UUGCUUUGGCAGAUAUCUUAAAAUUGGCAUCUUCUGGAGAAGGUCAACAUGUCCUUUCACAAGAAUGACAUGGAAAAACAGGAAACAUUUCAUUUUUAA
rnacentral:snRNA from 1 species